rnacentral:misc_RNA from 1 species
UUUCCGUAGGUGAACCUGCGGAAGGAUCAUUAUCGUACAACAUGUGAGGGGCCUGCGAGGGCUGUCGCUGACCCAAAAGUCGUUCACGCACGAAUAUUUUCUCUUGCAUAAUAAUCCAUCUCACCCUUUGUGCAUAACCGAGUUGGUACCCAUCGGGAACCUCUCGGUGGGUGGCUCGUGUUUUCAAAGAAACACCCCUUUUAACGGUGUAGCAUGCGCCCAAUUAUGCAACAAAUACAAUUUUCAACAACGGAUCUCUUGGCUCUCGCAUCGAUGAAA